GUUAUAGAAUCAAGUGACUAAGCGUAUGUGGUGGAUGCCUAGGCGAUAAGAGGCGAUGAAGGACGUAGUAAUCUGCGAUAAGCCCCGGUGAGCUGAUAAACAAGCAUUGACCCGAGGAUUUCCGAAUGGGGGAACCCGGCAUUUUAAGAUGUCAUCCGAAAGGAAGCUAACCCGGAGAACUGAAACAUCUAAGUACCCGGAGGAACAGAAAUCAACCGAGAUUCCCUUAGUAGCGGCGAGCGAACGGGGAGCAGCCCUUAAGCGGCUUUGCUGAUAAGAGAACACGUUGGGAAGCGUGACCAGAGUGGGUGAUAGUCCCGUAUCUGAAAUCAUCAUAGUUGUGAAAACGAGUAGGUCGGGACACGUGAUAUCCUGAUUGAAGAUGGGGGGACCAUCCUCCAAGGCUAAAUACUCCUUAUCGACCGAUAGUGAACCAGUACCGUGAGGGAAAGGCGAAAAGAACCCCGGAGAGGGGAGUGAAAUAGAACCUGAAACCGCAUACGUACAAGCAGUGGGAGCCGGAGUUUACUCUGGUGACUGCGUACCUUUUGUAUAAUGGGUCAGCGACUUACUUUUAGUGGCAAGCUUAAGCGAAUAGCGUAGGCGUAGGGAAACCGAGUCUUAAUAGGGCGUUGAGUCGCUGGGAGUAGACCCGAAACCGGGCGAUCUAUCCAUGGCCAGGUUGAAGGUGCGGUAACACGCACUGGAGGACCGAACCCACGUAUGUUGAAAAAUGCAGGGAUGAGCUGUGGAUCGGAGUGAAAGGCUAAUCAAGCCCGGAGAUAGCUGGUUCUCCUCGAAAUCUAUUUAGGUAGAGCCUCAUGUAUUACUCACGGGGGUAGAGCACUGUUAUGGCUAGGGGGGCCUGACCGCCUUACCAACCCAUUGCAAACUCCGAAUACCGUGAAGUAUCAGCAUGGGAGACACACGGCGGGUGCUAACGUCCGUCGUGGAAAGGGAAACAACCCAGACCGCCAGCUAAGGUCCCCAAAUUACCGCUCAGUGGGAAACGAUGUGGGAAGGCCCAGACAGCCAGGAGGUUGGCUUAGAAGCAGCCAUCCUUUAAAGAAAGCGUAAUAGCUCACUGGUCGAGUCG
rnacentral:rRNA from 1 species